AUACGGAGGACGCGAGCGUUAUCCGGAUUCAUUGGGUUUAAAGGGUGCGCAGGCGGCCGUGCAAGUCAGCGGUGAAAGCCCGGGGCUCAACCCCGGAAGUGCCGUUGAUACUGCGUGGCUGGAAUGCGGUCGAGGCGGGCGGAACGUGGCGUGUAGCGGGGAAAUGCGUAGGUAUGCCACAGAACGCCGAUAGCGGAGGCAGCUCGCCAGGGCUGCAUGGACGCUCGGGCACGAAAGCGUGGGGAGCGAACAGGAUUAGAUACCCUGGUAGUCCACGCCGGAAACGAUGGGCGCUCGGCGUCGGCGACAGACAGUCGGCGGCCAAGCGAAAGCGAUAAGCGCCCCACCUGGGGAGUACGGUCGCAAGGCUGAAACUCAAAUGAAUUGGCGGGG
rnacentral:rRNA from 1 species